AACAUGAUCGAAAAAAUACGUGAGAGUAUCAUUGUAUAGCAUUUUGGAUUAAACGCCUUGUACGUUUACGAACAGAGCACAGUCUGUGACCAGUGUUUAAACGGAAUAUUAUUGUGAAGUUCAACGACCCAAUUGUGAAUAAUAAUAUGAACAUAUACGGUCGGGGCGGUCGUCUAUAGUUAGAUAUUAUUUUGGCUGUAUUUGUGCUUAAAAUGCUGAGCAAAUAAAAUUCACGAUUUUGAAAACUGAUAACGUAAUACGACACGAAUAGGUUGUUACAAAAUAAUGCUACAUUUCGUGACUGUCAUAACUCGAGGACUUUGCAUCAAGGAUAUCCCCUCGUGAUAGCUAGCACUUAUAAUAAUAUUUAUGUUCAAUAUUAUUGUUAUGUCUCGAGGACAAAAUCAAACUUCAACGCGUCGUAUACUAAUAUAUUAUGUACGCGCGUCUUGCGCUAUUAAUUCAAACUUACAUCUCCAUGACCGACUCUAUACACGUGUUCAUCGUCCAUCCAGAGCACGUCAAAUGCUUGGAGUCGCAAAGUCCACAUGGAUGCCGUCAGGUCGAUGUAAGAUAACUAUCAAAAGUCGUCGGUCUGCUGAUCAUCAUUCAACAUCCUCACACUCUCGUUCUUCUACGUGAUGUACUUUCUGUUGAACUUCUUAUACUUUGUAUUUAACUGCAUUCCAUAGUCCGUCAUACAGCGGUCACGGGAGUUAAUUUCAAUCACCUUCACCAA